AAUGGUGCAGAGAUGCACGGGUACGUCCUGAACUUAAGCAUAUCAAUAAGGACAGGAGAAGAAACAAACGUGGAUUUCUUUAGUAGUGGCGAACGAACAAGAAGGAGCUCUAAUGGUAAUGCAAAGUUGUGGGAGCGGUGCAAGAAUCCUAUGGAAAGAGGAGCCAGAGGUGGUGAGAGCCCACGGACGACGCCAGCGAGCAGGAAGAGUAGUAUUGCUUGGUAGUGCAGUAUGAAAGGGUGGUAUGAACAUCCAAGGCUAAAUACAAGGAGAGACCGAUAGCAAAGAAGUACCGCGAGGGAAAGCUGAAAACAAUUGGAUAGGAUGAAAGACAGAAAGUACAUGAGAGUAAGCCCAUUUAUGGGACCCGUAUUGAAACACGGACCAAGGAGAUUUCCAGCGCAGCGAGGAGAAGGGUGGAGGCCCCGAUCCGAGAGAAAUCGGGAAGUUGCGGUGGUAAGACCCGAAAGAUAGUGAACUAUAUCUGUUGGUAUUGAAGUCAGGAGAAAUUCUGAUGGAGGAUAUUAGUCGUUCUGAUGUUCAAUUCGAUGACGAGAAAUGGGUAUAGGGGCGAAAGACCAAACGAACUAUCUGGUAGCUGGUUCCAGUCGAAAUGUCUCUCAGGACAGCGGUUGAGGUAUAGGAAGAUGCAGUAGAGAGGAUGUGGACAGAGUCAACAAACUCCGAAUGUGUCGAAUGUGCUAGGAUCUAGUGCAUGUCUAGGAGUUCUCAACCAGUGGGCAGAUUGUGGUAAGCAUGAUCUGCAAGAAGCAAAGAAGCUGGAAGCAGGAUAAGCAACCAAAGCGACAACACGCAGCAAAGUAGAUGACCAAGUUAAGACAGUAGGACGGUGGCCAUGGAAGUUGGAAUCCGCUAAGAAACGUGUUACAACGUACCUAUCGAAUUUGGGAUAGACUAAAAUUGAAGGUGGUGAUGUCGGGUGCGAGACCUGCAUAUUGGUAGACUGGCACGAGGCUUGCGGAGAAGGACACUGGCGAUGGUGUGUGGAGCGAGCCCCGGAGCAGAUCUUGGAAGUAGUAGCGACUAUUAUUAGGACAUGUUGAGUCGGGUUCAUCCUUUUGAUAGAAGGAGGUGAUACGAUCCUAUGUAAAAGGGGGAUAUGAGGAUAUUCAUAUGAUGGCUCUGAGAUAGCAAUAUAAGAACGACAGCUGGACAGGAGCAGAUGGCAAUUUGUCUGCAGGAGGAUCUACGGAGCGUUACACAGAGAAGUAGACGGACAGCUUGGUAAAAAGACAGGAGCCAGUCGUACCGAACCGCAUCAGGACUCAGGGGUGAGUAGCCCAAUGUGAGAGAGAACUCAAGUAAGGGAAAUCGGCAAAAUGGAUGAGUAACUUCGGGAGAAUUAUUGGCUCUAGCAUGCUAGAACUGGGCUUACAAGGGGAAUCUGACAGUUUAAUAAAAACAUAGCUUUCUGGCAGAUAGAAAGUGAAUUCUGCCCAGUGCUUGGGACGUUAAUGAAGUAAUAUUUAGUACGCACAUGUAAACGGCGGGAGUAACUAUGACUCUCUUAAGGUAGCCAAAUGCCUCGUCAUCUAAUUAGUGACGCGCAUGAAUGGAGCAACGAGAUUCCCACUGUCCCUACUUGAGCAGCGCGAACCUACAGCCAAGGGAACGGGCUUGGGACAAGCAGCGGGGAAAGAAGACCCUGUUGAGCUUGACUCUAGUGAGAUAGAGGCGUUUGUUGUGAUGCCGCAGCAAGGUGGGAAAAAGGUGCAAGACCACUGGCAUAUGGAACGAACGCGUUAGAUAUCUGAUGGGGAGUUUGGCUGGGGCGGCACGACUGCUAAACUAUAACGCAGUUGUCCAAAGGUAAGCUUCGAGGGGAAGGAAACCACUCAUGGAGCAAAAGGGCAAAAGCUUGCUUUAGGCGAUAGUGUGAACUAGCGCUACUGGAAACAGGGGCCUAUAGAUCCUCUUCUAGGUUAUGAGGAGAGGUGACGGAAAAGUUACCACAGGGAUAACUGGCUUGUGGCGGCCGAGCGAUCAUAGCGACGCCGCUUUUUGAUUCUUCGAUGUCGGCUCUUCCUAGCAUGGUGAAGCAGAAAUCACCUAGUGUUGGAUUGUUCACCCACCAACAGGGAACGUGAGCUGGGUUUAGACCGUCGCGAGACAGGUUAGUUUUACCCUACUGCUGAUGCACAAGAGUAGGUCAGAGGAGUACGAGAGGAAGCGCUGAUCAGGACCGCUGGUGAAGCUGUUGUGUGUUAGCGCAGCAGCACAGCUACGUCCUCCGUGUAAUGGCUGAAGGCCUCUAAGCCAGAAAGCAGACUCGAGUGUGUGUGGAUGCGGAGACGACGCAGACAAGGAAGCAAGCUGUGCGACACUAGCCGUGAGCGAGUGUUUGAGGCUGUGCUUUUCCUUCCCCCGGCGUGUUUACACUGCACAGGUCCGUGCGGUCCGAAUUGCUCAAACCUAUAAAUUUUUUAUCUAAUUCGUCGUCUGCAUUUAAAAAUAUGGUAAAUAAGUCUUGAAUCGAAAAACAAAAAUAAGGCUUUAAUAUAAUUUAUUACCUGUUUCUUAAUUUGAAUCGAUACAAUUCUUUUUUAU
rfam:Vittaforma corneae ATCC 50505 unplaced genomic scaffold supercont1.5, whole genome shotgun sequence.